UGGUGACCAUAGCGAGCUGGAACCACCCCUUCCCAUCCCGAACAGGACCGUGAAACAGCUCCGCGCCGAUGAUAGUGCGGAUUCCCGUGUGAAAGUAGGUCAUC
rnacentral:rRNA from 1 species